GAUGGAAGCUGCAGGGACCAUCCAUGUGGACAAAUGAAAUACUUUUUGUUUACAACAUGCAGCCUUCCUAUAAAAAAAAAGUGGAGGUCUCUGUCUGGUUUAGGACAGCUGGCUAAGCUUGAUCGUUCCCCUCCAUACAAU